CCUCAAUGAUGAACAAACAGAUGACGAGUCUGAUAAUCCAUUCUUUUAAAAUAAUGAAGACAAUCGAGGCAUUUGUCUGAGAGGA
rfam:Solanum tuberosum cultivar DM 1-3 516 R44 scf00004_22, whole genome shotgun sequence.